rnacentral:rRNA from 1 species
AUGUCUUCAUCCUCCGGCGCUUCCCAAACCAGCCUCAAUGGCCAAGUUACCGAGAAGCUGACGCGCACAAACUCUGUGCUAUGGCGCACGCAAGUGAUUCCCCAGCUGCGUGGCGCCGGUGUCUUCGGCUACGUCGACGGCACUCAGCCGGAGCCGGCAAGACUCCUCGUCACCGCCAAGGAAGGCAAGGAGGUGUCAUCGCCCAACCCUCUCCACCCAAUCUGGGUCAGGGAGGAUCAGCAGGUUCUUGGAUACCUGCUGAACAAUCUGACGCGUGAGGUGCUGCUCACGGUGACCAUGGUC